UCCCUGGAGGACUAGUGGUUAGGCCUUGGCUCUCUCAACACAGAGUCCCGGGUUCGAUUCCCGGGCCAGGGAU